rnacentral:snoRNA from 1 species
CUCGUAUGAUGAGACCAUUAACGGAUGUAAGAGCUACGGCUCUGCUUGUCCGAGAGCGCAUAACCUCGUGUGGAUAACCCGUUGCCUUCCUUCUGACUAUAUGC